AAGUCGUAACAAGGUAACCGUAGGUGAACCUGCGGUUGGAUCAUUACCAAAUCCAAACCCGGUGCUGGGUGGGCUUGUCCCACCCAGUGCCUCCACCCCAUGUGCAAUGUACACUGGGGGCGCGUGUGCUGCAAGGCCCCUGCGUCCCCUUUCACAACCAUGUGUAUUUUCCAAUCACCUGACGUUACCACUCGUGGACGCGGAGCGCCUUCCGGUGCUGCGCAACCAUUAGAGCUUAACGAAAAAACAACUUUUGACAACGGAUCUCUUGGCUCUC
rnacentral:misc_RNA from 1 species